AAUGAACGCUGGCGGCGUGCCUAACACAUGCAAGUCGUACGAGAAAGGGGCUUCGGCCCUGAGUAGAGUGGCGCACGGGUGAGUAACGCGUGGGUAAUCUGCCCUUGGAUUUGGAAUAACUCCGCGAAAGUGGGGCUAAUACCGGAUAGUCUGGCUUUUUAACGAAGUCGGUAAAGGAUGACUCUGCAUAUGCAUUCGUCCGAGGAUGAGCUCGCGUCUCAUUAGCUAGUUGGUAGGGUAAUGGCCUACCAAGGCAACGAUGAGUAGCUGGUCUGAGAGGAUGAUCAGCCACACUGGAACUGAAACACGGUCCAGACUCCUACGGGAGGCAGCAGUGGGGAAUAUUGCGCAAUGGGCGAAAGCCUGACGCAGCAACGCCGUGUGAGGGAUGAAGGCUUUCGGGUCGUAAACCUCUGUCAGAAGGGAAGAACGGGCAUUGGUCUAAUAGGCCUUUGUUUUGACGGUACCUUCAGAGGAAGCACCGGCUAACUCCGUGCCAGCAGCCGCCGUAAUAC
rnacentral:rRNA from 1 species